AGCGGAGGAAAAGAAACUAACAAGGAUUCCCCUAGUAACGGCGAGUGAAGCGGGAAGAGCUCAAAUUUGAAAUCUGGCAGUCUUCGAUUGUCCGAGUUGUAAUCUAUAGAGGCGUUUUCCGUGCCGGACCGUGUCCAAGUCUCCUGGAAAGGAGUAUCAAAGAGGGUGAUAAUCCCGUACUUAACACGACCACCGGUGCUCUGUGAUACGUCUUCUACGAGUCGAGUUGUUUGGGAAUGCAGCUCAAAAUGGGUGGUGAAUUCCAUCUAAAGCUAAAUAUUGGCGAGAGACCGAUAGCGAACAAGUACCGUGAGGGAAAGAUGAAAAGCACUUUGGAAAGAGAGUUAAACAGUACGUGAAAUUGUUGAAAGGGAAACGAUUGAAGUCAGUCGUGUUCUUUGGAUUCAGCCAGUUCUGCUGGUCUACUUCCUUGGAACGGGUCAACAUCAGUUUUGUCCGGUGGAUAAAGGUAGUAGGAAUGUGACUUCUCCGGAAGUGUUAUAGCCUAUUAUCACAUACACUGGGUGAGACUGAGGACUGCAGCUCGCCUUUAUGGCCGGCCUUCGGGCACGUUCGAGCUUAGGAUGUUGACAUAAUGGCUUUAAACGACCCGUCUUGA
rnacentral:rRNA from 1 species